UGCAAGAUUUCCCCGGCGGACCCACCCGCCCCCCUCUGGGUUGCUGUCUAGUCUAGUCUCUACACUCUUUCUAGGUCUAUAUAAUGCGAGCGAUACAGCCAGCGGUAUGGACUACUACUGACCGUGACCCGGCCCGUGGAGGACGUUAGUGGAGUCGAGACGAGACCGGUGGAGAGAGUGACUGCUGUUGCUGACUUGACUGUGCCUGUGACACUCCGUUGGACUGGAGCUAAGCAUUAGACUUCUUCUGAAUCAAGUAUCUGUUGCUAUGGGAUCCACCUAUUUCCCUUGUCUACCCCAUGAACAAACCAUCAUACUUCCAUUAUGUACCUGCAGAUGGACACUUUCUAAUGUGCAAGGCACCCCUACUGCAAGUGGACUAUGGUAAUGAUGCAGAGUGUCUGAUGGAGGUGGAGCUCUAAGAGGACAAAGACAGUUCUUAAAGUGAUAAGCGGCCACCCAGAGAUGCUUAUGCUGUUCCCAUGUUAUGCUUCACUGUGUGGAGAGUACAGAGCAAGAAACUGUUGGUAAUAUUGGAGGAUGCUAGCUAUGCAGGUUGAGAAAUAAAGAUGCAGUGCUGUUUGGGGGUAGGUGGGGGUUUGGCUUGGUCUUGGAGCAGAUAGAUCAGUAGUUCGGGGAUUCUGGGAGGUAGAUGGAGAGUUUUGGAGAGACUGUACUAUUAUGAAGUGACAAAUUGUGCCCUAUUGGCUAUUAUAGCAAUAAGUGUAUGGAUUUAUAUACAGUAUUCUCACACAGAUUCAUGUUAUACCAUAGUAUUAGGCUUACAUUGGUAUUAAGAGAUUUACUAAUUGUCUGUGCCUUUUAUAUAGCUGUUAUCUGUUUUAAAUAUUAUAUAAUUGUUAUGGUAUCUUAUUCUGUUAGAAUAAAAGGGUGGAAUGUUAGAAUAUAUAUAACCAUAGUGCUGCCAUUUUGUAUCUAAGAAGCCAUGAUAAACUAAUUAUGAACUGUUGUACUGAUAUUGAACUGUUGUUUUUUUUCUGUAUUUUGUUAUAUGACAUUGUUCUUCAGGGAGUAAAAUCCUUAUCUUGUUACUAAUGUAA